GAAAUGCCAGGGAACAAAAAUUUUCACAGUCCAUGGCUACCAUCAUUUAGUUACUUAUUCAUAUAUUUCUCUGCUCAUUCAUGUGUUUUGUUCACUCAUUAAAGUGAGCUUUUUUCCAGACAUGCAACACCCCCCACACUACUAGCUCAAUGCAGGGGAGACAAAAAUAGAGGACGCAAGUUGCUAUGUCCAGCACAUGCCUCAAGAUAAAGCAUCCUCAAUUGCAGCUGUGUGGUCUUUUACAAGUCCUGCCUACGCUUUCCCCCCGCCGUUUUUCACAUAAAGAAGCUGCUUCCCUUAUUCAAGUCAAGUCCUUUAUACUUCUAUUACUCUCUUUUCUCCUUACACAUGAUCUUAUCUCCUACAUUAUGGCUAUAGCCAAGCUAGAACUUGUAGGAUAAUUUGGAGUUUUGGAAGAGAGGAGAAAUUAUAGAGAAAUGAGGUGAAGGAAGCUGUGAGAAGAACAGACAACAAAGGAAAGAAGUAUCUGUGAAAGAUUCAAAUGAAAAUCUCUAUUGCACAAUUGGAAAAUACUUAUCUGGAGCUCAAGAGAGUGAUCCAGAUUAGGGCUAAUAAAUAUGGAUAAAAUCAGUUAAUACUGUAACACCAUAUGGCAUAGAUACUAUUAUAAUCCUCAUUUUACAGAUGAGGAAAGUGGUAUGCAGAGAGGUGAUGUAAUUUGUCUGCAAUUACACACCAUCUGCAGUGUGAUUUGAAGCUCUUAACAAGCUCCCAAGAAACACCAAUGUUUAAGACUGCAAAGGAACUGUCAAAAUGCAAUGGAAACUAGAAGAGUUUUGAGAUGGCAAGAGUGGUCAAGAGAGCCAAAUGUUGCUGAGAGUUCAAGAGAAAGAGGUGAUUUUGUGCAGAAAUAGAUGAUACAGAAGAAAAGCAUUAGAAAGAUUCUAAAAAUAUCUCUUUGGUGAGAACUUUGCAAUCAGAACACCCCACAUCGCAUAGAAGGUUGUUACUGCUAUCCGUCCUUAAGGGAAAAACAUCACCGGUGUUAUGGCAAUGUCACUAGAGAGGUGUAAAGGUGAGAACUGAAAUGACUUUGGGAAAAGGUUUUGGAAGAUUGAGAAGAAAAAAGAGAAGCUCAGAGGAAGAGAAAGAGAAAAGAAGACGUCCUGGGCAAGCAAUUUCCUUUUAAGCAUGUGAGGCGGAAAUCAUACACAUUCUUUGUGCUUACAUCCCAGUAGAGAAAACCUGAUCACACAGCCACAAGAUGAUUCCAUCAAGCCAAGUGAUCUAGGAUUUGUUCGGCAAAUUGAUGAUUGGUGAUAUUUUCUGGAGAUACAAAGACUCAAAGUCCCUUUGAGCACAAAGAGAACGAUGCCUAUAAAUUCCAUAAAUCUCUUCAAACUGCCAGAGAAUGAAAAGCCAGGUAAGAUUGCAUUCUGUGGAGACAGGAAGCACAACAAUAACUUUUGGGAGAGUUAUUGGAAGCCAAUAUACCAAGACACCAUGAUGGAUGAUCCAGAAUCAUGGGUAAAGAUGUAACCAGUGUUAAGUAAAUGGUAUCAGGGAAUUGUAGAGAUAAGAAGGUCCAUACUACUUCAUUAUGAAUAGGUUCCAAAGAGCCAUGACAUUGUAAGUAAUAAUGGUGUUAUUAACUUUUUCUUGUGGGGAUAAAUAUAAAAUUCUCUAGUAAUAAUACAUUUGAAAGUAAAGAACAGGAAGAGAUGGUUUCUGGACAUAAAAAGAUGCCUGGAGGAUCUUUGCAUGCCUUAACUGAACAGUAAACAAUUAUGUAAUCCUUGCUUUUCCAUCUGCUAGUCUAAAUUGUUAUUGAUAUAUAGUAAUACCUCAUGUAGGGCCAUGAGUUUUGUGUUACUUAUUUUAAUUAAAAUGUUUACAUUGGCAGAGACCCACCAGAAGUAUUUCUCCAGGGCCCUGACUACCCUUCAGGGUGCACUGCCCUCUGGAAUAUUUAGAGAGAUAAAGGAUUUUAGGAAGUUUUUGUUGCAUAUCAUAAAAGGACUUUCCUUUUGGUGCCUCUUCAAGAAAUUUUAUUCAUGAUUUAAAUAAUUUUUCUGUAUGUCAGAUUGAUAUAUCCUGUACAAACCACACCAAAUUUACAAAUGAGAAAGUUCAGAGGAAAAAAAGAUUUUCUAGAGAUUGCUCAGCACUAAAGAAUGAAGCUAAGGUUUUUGUCAAGAUUUAUCUGAUUCUAAAAGUCAUUGUCUCCACCACACUGAACACACCUUAUUCUUCUUCUGAUGAGUAAUUCAGGCUGCCCAAUUUUGGUGGAAGUGAGCUUUUGCUUUACUAUGAUACCAAAACAAUCUCGAAUUAAUUUGAUUGCUUACAUGUUAUUCACUAAUAGAGAAUAAAAUCACUAGGAUCGUUAGGUCAGAUAUUUUCAGCAGUUGUCUUGUAAAUCAAUGAGCAUUUGUUGCUGUUGGUUUGAUUGGGCUCACAUAUUCUCUAGAGUCCUGCCAUCAUCUUGCAAUGACAUAAUUAAGUUUCUCUGUGCAAAUAUUGAGGAUUCGGGUCUGGACACAUUUCUCUUAUGUUAGGUUUCUGAGUCCUCAGGCAACUCUGACUAUAUAGACAUCUAUUGAUCUUUCUUUUAGGCAGCUUGACAGUAUAGCCAUCUAUUGUCUUUUCUAUUUAUCUAAUUUAUCUAAAAUUAUCUUAAUUUUAACAUAGCCAGGAC
rnacentral:lncRNA from 10 species